rnacentral:rRNA from 1 species
GGGCCCGCACAAGCGGUGGAGCAUGUGGUUUAAUUCGAAGCAACGCGAAGAACCUUACCAGUCCUUGACAUGGAUAGUAUGGAUUUUGGAGACAAUUUCCUUCAGUUCGGCUGGCUAUCACACAGGUGCUGCACGGCUGUCGUCAGCUCGUGUCGUGAGAUGUUGGGUUAAGUCCCGCAACGAGCGCAACCCUCAUCUUUAGUUGCCAUCGGUUCGGCCGGGCACUCUAGAGAAACUGCCUGCGAUGAGCAGGAGGAAGGCGGGGACGACGUCAAGUCAUCAUGGCCCUUAUGGACUGGGCUACACACGUGCUACAAUGGCGGUGACAAUGGGCAGCGACAGGGCGACCUGAAGCAAAUCCCUAAAAACCGUCCCAGUUCGGAUUGUACUCUGCAACUCGAGUGCAUGAAGUCGGAAUCGCUAGUAAUCGC